rnacentral:rRNA from 1 species
UACGAAGGGGGCUAGCGUUGCUCGGAAUCACUGGGCGUAAAGCGCACGUAGGCGGCUUCUUAGGUCAGGGGUGAAAUCCUGGAGCUCAACUCCAGAACUGCCUUUGAUACUGAGGAGCUUGAGUCCGGGAGAGGUGAGUGGAACUGCGAGUGUAGAGGUGAAAUUCGUAGAUAUCGGGAGGAACACCGGUGGCGAAGGCGGCGACCUGGGUAGAUACUGACGCUGAGGUGCGAAAGCGUGGGGAGCAAACAGG